AACGAACGCUGGCGGCAUGCCUAACACAUGCAAGUCGAACGAGACCUUCGGGUCUAGUGGCGCACGGGUGCGUAACGCGUGGGAACCUGCCCUUAGGUUCGGAAUAACUCCCCGAAAGGGGUGCUAAUACCGGAUAAUGUCAUCGGAGCAAAGAUCUAUUGCCUUUGGAUGGGCCCGCGUUGGAUUAGCUAGUUGGUAGGGUAAAAGCGUACCAAGGCGACGAUCCAUAGCUGGUCGGAGAGGAUGAUCAGGCACACUGGGCCUGAGACACGGCCCAGACUCCGACGGGAGGCAGCAGUGGGGAGUAUUGGACAAUGGGCGAAAGCCUGAUCCAGCAAUGCCGCGUGAGUGAUGAAGGCCUUAGGGUUGUAAAGCUCUCUUACCCGGGAUGAUAAUGACAGUACCGGGAGAAUAAGCUCCGGCUAACUCCGUG
rnacentral:rRNA from 1 species